GAUGAACGCUGGCGGCGUGCCUAAUACAUGCAAGUCGAGCGAACAGAUGAGGAGCUUGCUCCUCUGACGUUAGCGGUGGACGGGUGAGUAACACGUGGAUAACCUACCUAUAAGACUGGGAUAACUUCGGGAAACCGGAGCUAAUACCGGAUAAUAUAUUGAACCGCAUGGUUCAAUAGUGAAAGACGGUUUUGCUGUCACUUAUAGAUGGAUCCGCGCCGCAUUAGCUAGUUGGUAAGGUAACGGCUUACCAAGGCAACGAUGCGUAGCCGACCUGAGAGGGUGAUCGGCCACACUGGAACUGAGACACGGUCCAGACUCCUACGGGAGGCAGCAGUAGGGCAUCUUCCGCAAUGGGCGAAAGCCUGACGGAGCAACGCCGCGUGAGUGAUGAAGGUCUUCGGAUCGUAAAACUCUGUUAUUAGGGAAGAACAAAUGUGUAAGUAACUAUGCACGUCUUGACGGUACCUAAUCAGAAAGCCACGGCUAACUACGUG
rnacentral:rRNA from 1 species